rnacentral:SRP_RNA from 1 species
CCGUGCUAGACGGGGAGGUAGCGGUGCCCUGUAACUCGCAAUCCGCUGUAGCGAGGUUGAAUUCCUGCUUGAGGUUAUGUGAUGCGGGGUUUGGUCUUUGUGAACAAUGUUGACAGUUGGGUCCCUCGCAAUGGGCAUCUGUGAACCCGGUCAGGUCCGGAAGGAAGCAGCCGUAAGCAGACACGUUCAUGUGUUGGGGGAGUGCCUGACUCGAGUUGGGAUCAAAGGUGCCACUCGGAUCGCAUGUAUCGGGAGUAGGUGCACGG